UACGUAGGUGGCAAGCGUUGUCCGGAUUUACUGGGUGUAAAGGGCGCGUAGGCGGGAUAGCAAGUCAGAUGUGAAAUGCCAGGGCUUAACCCUGGAGCUGCAUUUGAAACUGUUAUUCUUGAGUAUCGGAGAGGCAGGCGGAAUUCCUAGUGUAGCGGUGAAAUGCGUAGAUAUUAGGAGGAACACCAGUGGCGAAGGCGGCCUGCUGGACGACAACUGACGCUGAGGCGCGAAAGCGUGGGGAGCAAACAGG
rnacentral:rRNA from 1 species